CGGCGAGUAGCGCAGCUUGGUAGCGCAACUGGUUUGGGACCAGUGGGUCGGAGGUUCGAAUCCCCCGCUUCGGCGG
rnacentral:tRNA from 1 species